UACGUAGGGUGCGAGCGUUAAUCGGAAUUACUAGGCGUAAAGCGUGCGCAGGCGGUUCGUUGUGUCCGUCGUGAAAGCCCCGGGCUUAACCUGGGGAACUGCGAUGGAAACUAGCGAGCUGGAGUGUGGCAGAGGGGGGUGGAAUUCCGCGUGUAGCAGUGAAAUGCGUAGAGAUGCGGAGGAACACCGAUGGCGAAGGCAGCCCCCCUGGGCUAACACUGACGCUCAGGCACGAAAGCGUGGGGAGCAAACAGG
rnacentral:rRNA from 1 species